UGCUCAGUGAAAUGACCUGUCCUGAUUUGUCAUAGACGCUUGCUAAAAAACUUUUUGCAAUUCUUCCUUCAUGAACUGGCCUCUGAAAACGGUAUAGAAUCAGCUUGAUCCCCUCUGUCGAAGAUGCUUGGACCUUCUUUUUGGAUAUUUUCAGUGGUAUUGUUAAAGGUCCUCAAUGAUGUCAUCAUUGCCCAUGAUUCUAAGCAAUAUAGCCCUUAUGCACAUUCCAUGAUCUAACGUUCUAAACACACUUCAUAUCGGUGCGGCAAUUUCCGGUCAGUUUAGUUGUUAUCGAGGAUAUAACGUUACUACCACUAUGUCGCAGUUUUUUACUAGGUGUCUUCAGGCCUCAAAUUAAUAUUAAUGAUGUACAUCGAAUUGUUAAAUCAGCUUCAGAGACUCCAGCUAGCAAGAAUGAAGAGGGGUUCGAGAUGUAUAUAGGAAGCUACAUAGACAACUACGAAGUAUCUAACAAAGAUACAUUGACAGGGGAGAUCACCGUGAGGGCUGCCUGUCACAGGUCCAUGAGGAAGAGUGAAAAGCUGCACAGCAUGAGAAUGGUGUUAAAGCACUCCGUACCAGUGAUAGUGGUCCAAAGCCACUGCUCCUGUGUUGCAGGAAGUGCUCUGUGCAAUCAUCUGGUGGCCCUUUACCAGACAGCGCACUACUCUCAAUGAAACAUUCCUGCUGCACCACCAGUUCACAGCUGCACAGACACAGAACAGCGUUGGCACAAGCCAAGAACACUUGGUGUGAAGCCAGGUCCGGUUGAUGGGAUAGAGUUCCGUAAACCAACUAACUCGUGUGCUGAUGGAAUAAGAAGUUCUCUCUACAAAGCACUCAAUGGAUACAUGCCUGACAUGGACCUUCUCCGCGUCUCAGAACCGUAUGGCAACUUUUCUCCACUUACUGCCCCUCUUGUGACAACAAUGGAAAUGUCAGCUGACCUGCCCCUGGUUGAGUCCGCCUUUGGGCCAGUGUAAGCCGGCAGUGUGCUGUCCUAUCAGCUUCCACAGCCAAAGACCAGUGAAAUUGUGAAGAUUGCCGAUGUCACUUAUCCACCAAUACUUCCAUUAGAUGGCUACAGGCUUCAGGCUUCCCAGUGUGCUUACGUCCUUAGCCAUCAGGAGCAGUUGCACCUCAAGGCGUUAGAGACAACCUACGAGAUGUCACACAAAGUCAAGGUUGCUACAAGGGAGCGGAGCAGCAGCCCGGAAUGGCAUCAGCUCAGGAAAAUGAGAAUAACAUCAUCUCGCUUCCAAGAGGUUUGCCAAGGUUUGCCAUGUCCGGGGAGAGACCUCAGCUGACCAUCUAGCUGAGCGGAUGUUCAAGGGAUCUGGUAUGCAGACCAUGGAUAUGAAGAGGGGGCUAGCCAUGGAGCCAGUGGCUGUACAGGGAUCAGGUAUGCAGACCAUGGAUAUGAAGAGAGGGCUAGCCAUGGAGCCAGUAGCUGUACAGGAGUACGGCACACUGAAGAAUGUUAACUUCUUUCCGUGUGGCUUCGUAGUGCACCCAGAUGCUCUGUGGUUUGGAUCCUCUCCAGAUGGAAUCAUAUUUGAUCCCAGUGUGAGACCACACUUUGGAUUCUUAGAGGUCAAGUGCCCAAAUGUACCAAGUUAUGUUGACUGCCCUUAUCUGAAGAUACAGAAUGGAGAGCUGAAGUUGAAGAGAUCUCAUGCUUACGCCUGCUCAUGCAGGUGCAAGGUCAAAUCCUUCUCACAGGUUGUAGCUGGUGUGACUUUGUCAUCUGUACACAGGAGGACAUCCUAGUUGAAAGGAUAUAUACAGAUCUACAGGUUUCAAAAGCUACAAGAGAGAAGGUUGACCACUUUUAUUUUUCCACUACUUGCAGAACUGUCUCUCGCACCUGAAUGGAUCCCCUGCAUGGGUGCCAAGUUUAGUGGUUUUAUGAAAAAUAAGUAUUGAUGUUCUUGUGAAGAAAUCUACAGUAGAAUAGAUUUGUUUAAAAAUAUAUAUAUUUCAGCAAAUGUUCAACAGUUCAGUUAAUCAAUUACACAUCUCUAACAUUGUAUUCAGUCUUGCAUUCUGGUUAUUCUGUUUACUUGAUUUCUUUCCCCCACCCCUGUUACUCAUUGCCUAAUUAAAGCCAAUACAAGCUCCACACAAACUGAUAUUCACUACAACACAAAUGACUGAUACAUGUCGUAGAUAAACAAAUUAUUAUUUUGCUGUUAGCAAAUAAAC
ensembl:lncRNA